rnacentral:rRNA from 1 species
UGAAGCGGCAAUAGCUCAAAUUUGAAAGCUGGCGUCUUCGACGUCCGCGUUGUAAUUUGUAGAGGAUGUUUCGGCGAGGGCUCCUGCCUAAGUUCCCUGGAAUGGGACGUCACAGAGGGUGAGAAUCCCGUAUGUGGCGGGCGGCCUUAGCCAUGUGAAACUCCUUCGACGAGUCGAGUUGUUUGGGAAUGCAGCUCUAAAUGGGAGGUAAAUUUCUUCUAAAGCUAAAUACCGGCCAGAGACCGAUAGCGCACAAGUAGAGUGAUCGAAAGAUGAAAAGCACUUUGGAAAGAGAGUUAAAAAGUACGUGAAAUUGUUGAAAGGGAAGCGCUUGCAACCAGACUCGUUCGCAGUUGCUCAGCCCGCCUCUUGGUGGGUGUACUCUUCUGCGGUCGGGCCAGCAUCAGUUCGGGCGGUCGGAUAAAGGUGUCGGGAAUGUAGCACCCUUCGGGGUGUGUUAUAGCCCGGCGCGGAAUGCGGCCAGCCUGGACUGAGGAUCUCGCUUCGGCAAGGAUGCUGGCGUAAUGGUUGUAAGCGGCCCGUCUUGA